CAAUUGACAAUUAUUUUGAUGUCUAUGGCCCAAGGACGUUCCUUGGCAAUUUGUUAAUUAGUAAUUAAUUAGAGGACGUUCCCUAAUUAAUUUAAUCAUAAAGAGAGACAUGGUGGUGAGAAGCGUCUUCCACCCCCAUAACUAAUCUAUUGAACCAAUCAAGAUAAUCUAAGUUUCAAUGAUCAACCCAAACAACCAAAGUGGAUCCAUAUCUUCAACUAGGCUUUUCUCAUAUUGAUUUACCCUUUUAUUUUAAUUAUUUGCUUUCUAUUAUUACUCUCAUUAUUAGUUACUACAAUCAAUCUCAAACCCUCCCAUUUUACUUUAUUGCAAUUUAUUUUUAUUCUGCUUCCAGUUUAUCUCAUUUGAUCCCACUUUCAGUCUUUUAUCUCAUCUUUAAUUUAUUAUUGUUUCAGUUUAUUUUAUUGGUCUUGUUGAGAAAAAUAAAUAGGUAAUCAAUUCUCUGUGGAUUCGAUCCUUUCACCACUAUCUGCAGUUGUAAAAUUGUUGAUAACCAGAAAGGUUAUUUUUGACCGGCCUCGACAACCGCAAGUCAAAAAUUGGCGCCGUUGCCGGGGAAUUGAUUUAACUCAUUUAUUUUUCUUUCAUGACCAGAUCUGAACACAGGGACACACUGCCCUUUGAUCCAGAAAUUGAACGCACUCUCAGAAGACUUAGAAAGCAAGUCGCAGAAGCUUCAUCUGAAGCAACCGAAUUUUACCAACAAGCUGCACCAAUGGCUGAACCUAAUCCACAAGAUGCUGCCCCAAAUGGACUUGCUGUCCAGAACCAAAUAGUUCAAGAAAAUCCAGCAGUUAGGCCCCAAGAACAAAGAGAAAGAACUAUGGGAGAAUUGGCAACCCCUGUAGGUGACUAUGCACCACUUUGCAUCACCUACCCACCUCUGACAGUUCCCUUUGAACUGAAGAUAGGUUUGAUACACAUUCUCCCUAAGUUUAGAGGUAGAGAAAAUGAAAAUCCACACAAGCACUUAAAAGCAUUCAAUAUGAUCUGUUCAUCUAUGAAACCUCAAGGUAUCUCUGAAGACCAAAUUAAGUUAAGAGCCUUCCCCUUUUCAUUAGAAGACUUUGCUAAAGAUUGGUUAUUUUACUUGCCACCUGGAUCUAUUACUUCUUGGGAUGAUAUGGUCAAAGCCUUUCUGAACAAAUACUUCCCAACCCAUAAAUCAAUUGGCAUAAUAAGGGAAAUCACAAGCAUAAGGCAAAAACCAUCUGAGGACUUAUAUGAUUAUUGGGAAAGGUUUGAAAGACUUUGCACAGAAUGCCCUCAAUAUGACAUAUCAGACAAGGCCCUCAUACAAUUCUUCUAUGGAGGAUUAUCUCCCUCAGAAAGAAAAUUCAUUUAUGUAACCUGUGGAGGCUCCAUUGAAGACAAAACACCUAGACAAAUGAGAGAAUUAAUCUCUACUCUUGCAGCCUCAUCUAGGCAAUAUGGAGAAGAGAGGCAACUACAAAGGGCCAAUGAGGUAAAUUUUCCUAAUAUGUCUGAACUAACAUCUGUUAUAAAAAAUGCUAUGGUGGAUGUGGUACAACAGAUUCAAGCACCCCAGCCAGCUAGGCCAUGUGGGAUUUGUUUAUGUGUGGGACACCCAACUGAUCAAUGUCCCACACUCCAAGAAGACCAUCAGCAAGCCAACGCCAUUGGGAGGUACAACAACCAGCCUAGAUAUGAUCCAUACUCCAACACCUAUAAUCCAGGUUGGAGAGACCAUCCCAAUUUCAGCUAUGGAAAGGGCAACACUGAUCAGAAUCACCAAGGUUACCAAAGAAGCCAAGUCCAACCAGCACCUCCAAUGGACAAUAACACUAUGAACGAGGUAGUGAAGACCUUGCAAAUGAUACAACAACAGAUGGGACAAAUGGCCACCUCCAUAAACAAAUUGGAAGCUCAAGGAAAGUUGCCUUCCCAAACUGAGGCAAAUCCCAAACAAAAUGUAAGUGCCAUUACUUUGAGAAGUGGGAAAGAGCUUCAAGAUGCAAAAUUUGAGGAGGAAAAGCAAGUUGAACCAAAGCGUACAUCAUCUGAGACACCCUCUGCACAACAUCCAAGGCGAUCUGAAGCCUCUUCAUCGCAAUCCGCAGCUCCUCCUGCGCAAAAGACUGACCCAAAGAUAAGCUUUCACAUUCCACCUCCUUUUCCCAAGAGAUUUGAAAGAACACAAAAAGAAAAGGAAGAAAAGGAGAUCCUUGACACUUUCAGAAAAGUACAAAUCAAUAUACCUCUGCUAGAUGCUGUUAAGCAGAUUCCCAGGUACGCUAAAUUUCUGAAAGAACUUUGCACUAAUAGGAGAAAGCUUGCAGAGAGAGAAAAAGUAAGUGUAGGUGAGGUUGUGACUGCUGUUAUUAAAAGGGAACUCCCUACCAAAUGCAAGGACAAAGGUAUGUUCGCUAUCUCUUGUAAGAUUGGGAAUGUUGGUAUCAAGAAAGCCAUGUGUGAUCUUGGUGCAUCCAUUAAUGUCAUGCCUCUCUCCAUCUAUAAAUCUCUCAAUGCAUGUGCACUUAAAGAAACAAGAGUUGUGAUACAAUUGGCUGAUAGAUCUGUGGUAUAUCCCAUAGGUAUUCUAGAAGAUGUGUUAGUUCAAGUAAAUGAACUAGUCUUUCCUGCUGAUUUUUAUGUGAUUGAUACUAAGGAAGAUAGUUGUAAUACUAGUUCUGACAUUCUUCUUGGACGUCCUUUCUUGAGUACUGCUAGAACUAAGAUUGAUGUGCAUGAUGGUACUCUCACUAUGGAAUUUGAAGGGGAAGUCAUUAAAUAUAAUGUCUAUGAUUCUAUGAAAUAUCCACAUGAUAUGUCCCCUGUUUAUGGUCUUGAUAUUGUUGACUGCCUGAGCCAGGAAAUUUUUGACAAAAAUCAAGAUGAUAUUCUUAACAGUGAUUUCUGCAGAGAUACUGAUCAGGUACAGAUUGAGAGCCAGAAAGAGUCGAAACUUAAGGAAACAGUCUGUAGCAUCCAACAGAUAGUUUGCAGUCAAGCACAGAUUGGAGAAAACUCAGUUGCACCACUUCAGAAUGGUGUGCAGACCCUUCCUACGCAAAAGGAAACUUUUGGAUCCAGUUCUGCGCCAUCUCCUCUGCAGUCGAGCCUUGCGCAAAAGGAGAUUUCUGAAACCACCUCUGCGCAGACACCCUUGCAACACUCUUCAGAUCUGAAGCCCCUUCCAGGCCAUCUGAAAUACAUGUACUUGGGGACUGACAAGACAUUACCAGUAAUAGUGUCCAAUGAAUUGAACCAACAUGAAGAAGCAAGCCUCCUGAAAGUACUGCAGAAACACAAAGGAGCCAUAGGAUGGACCAUAGAUGACAUAAAAGGUAUUUCACCUUCCACAUGCAUGCAUAGAAUUCACAUGGAGGAUGAAUGCAAGCCAGUCAGAGAUGCUCAAAGAAGACUGAAUCCACCUAUGAUGGAAGUAGUGAAGAAAGAAAUAGUCAAGCUCCUUGAUGCAGGUAUUAUCUACCCUAUCUCUGAUAGCAAAUGGGUGAGUCCUGUGCAUGUAGUUCCAAAGAAAACUGGAAUUACCAUUGUUCCAAAUGCUGAAGGGGAACUUGUCCCCACUAGAGUUCAAAAUGGAUGGAGAGUAUGCAUGGACUAUAGGAAGCUCAAUGCUGCAACAAGGAAGGACCACUUCCCACUGCCUUUCAUUGAUCAGAUGCUAGAAAGGCUUGCAGGUAAAUCUCACUAUUGUUGUCUUGAUGGUUAUUCAAGUUUCUAUCAAAUUCCAGUUACCCCAGAGGACCAAGAGAAAACCACCUUCACUUGUCCCUUUGGCACUUUUGCCUUUAGAAGAAUGUCAUUUGGACUAUGCAAUGCACCUGCCACUUUUCAACGGUGCAUGAUGAGCAUAUUUUCUGACUAUGUGGGUAAGACAAUUGAGGUAUUUAUGGAUGACUUCACAGUUCAUGGAAAUUCUUUUGAUGAAUGCCUUACCAAUCUAGAAAAGAUCUUGCAAAGAUGCAUUGAGACUAACCUUGUGCUUAAUUAUGAAAAAUGCCAUUUUAUGGUUAAUCAAGGUAUGGUCUUAGGUCAUGUUGUUUUAGCUAAAGGCAUUGAAGUGGACAAAGCAAAGGUGGAUACCAUCAAAAAUCUGCCUUAUCCCACAACUGUUAAAGACAUCCGAUCAUUCCUUGGCCAUGCAGGAUUCUAUAGAAGAUUCAUCAAAGAUUUCUCAAAAAUCACUUUGCCAUUAUGCAGAUUGCUCCAACAGAAUGUAACCUUUGAUUUUGAUGCAGACUGCAAAAAGGCAUUUGACUUGAUUAAAGAAUUGCUUGUGACUGCCCCAAUUAUUCAAGGACCUGACUGGAACUUGCCUUUUGAAAUCAUGUGUGAUGCAAACAAUUAUGCAGUGGGAGCAGUCUUAGGGCAACGUGUGGGAAACUCACCCCAUGUCAUUUACUAUGCCUCUCGCACACUGGAUGCUGCACAAAGCAAUUACACAACAACUGAAAAAGAACUCUUGGUAGUUGUGUUUGCUUUGGAAAAAUUCAGACCCUACCUCUUGGGUACCAAAGUCAUUGUCUAUUCUGACCAUGCAGCUCUGCGAUAUCUGAUCAAGAAAAAGGAAGCCAAGCCAAGACUAAUUAGGUGGAUUCUUCUCCUACAAGAAUUUGAUCUGGAGAUAAGAGACAAAAAAGGCAAGGAAAAUCUUGUGGCUGAUCACCUCAGUCGGCUUCCAUCCAAUUCUACGCCUUGCCCAGUUGAGGAAGCCUUCCCAGACGAACAUCUGUUCGUCACUCACUCUACCUAAGAAGAUCAUGCCAUGCACACCACACCCCAGGGAAGUACUCAGUUUCCUUUGUUCUCUCCUCUCUUCUUCUCUUCUCUUCUUCUCUCUUCUUUUACAUUGAGGACAAUGCAUGAUUUAAGUGUGGGGGUGCAUAUCUCUUCUUCCUCUUCUCUUUCUUUCUAUCUUCUUCUUCUCUCUUUUGCAAUUUCUCCUUACAGAUUUUUCAACAAAAAAAAAAAAAAUUAUUUCAGUUAUGCGAUUUAUGCUUUCAGUUUUCUUUUAGUUUAUUUUUACUUUCAAUAAUACACACACAACCACAACCAUCUUCUUCUUUUUAUUUUGCUCUACUCAAAACUGAUGAACUAUGUUGGAUGAGCUUUUCUUUCCAUGACCCCAUUGAUGUUAUAACUCUUUAUGUAACAGCCCGGACGUGAUCCCCGACACUAUUACCGUUCACGGCCCAGGGCUAUCCCUCGCCUGGCCUCUUGCCACCUCGGGCUUUCCACUGGCGUCGUGAACAGCUCUUAACAUCCAUUCACCCUCACGGGUUCCUGGCAGGAUUUGUCCCCUUGGGUUCUUGCAUCGAAUGCAUCCUUCCCCAAGUGGAUUUGGCCCAAAUUUCCAUUGGAACAACUGGUACUCACUCUCACUAGACUAUUCCCUUAAAGUGGGAGAUCAAGGGUUCGAGUAGUGGGGGAGGCGACCUAAUUUCUAAAGGGAAAUUUGGGCCAAAUCCACUUGGGGAAGGAUGCAUUCGAUGCAAGAACCCAAGGGGACAAAUCCUGCCAGGAACCCGUGAGGGUGAAUGGAUGUUAAGUGCUGUUCACGACGCCAGUGGAAAGCCCGAGGUGGCAAGAGGCCAGGCGAGGGAUAGCCCUGGGCCGUGAACGGUAAUAGUGUCGGGGAUCACGUCCGGGCUGUUACAUAAAAAGGCGUCCGGGCUGUUACAAUUUGCUUUCUAUUAUUACUCUCAUUAUUAGUUACUACAAUCAAUCUCAAACCCCCCCCCAUUUUACUUUUAUUGCAAUUUAUUUUUAUUCUGCUUCCAGUUUAUCUCAUUUGAUCCCACUUUUAGUCUUUUAUCUCAUCUUUAAUUUAUUAUUGUUUCAGUUUAUUUUAUUGGUCUUGUUGAGAAAAAUAAAUAGGUAAUCAAUUCUCUGUGGAUUCGAUCCUUUCACCACUAUCUGCAGUUGUAAAAUUGUUGAUAACCAGAAAGGUUAUUUUUGACCGGCCUCGACAACCGCAAGUCA
rnacentral:lncRNA from 1 species